UUCGAUUUACGUGUUAUUUAACCGCCUGUGAUGUUACAAUCAGAUAUUUGCACAACCAGUUGCAGCUUCAUGUAACUGGUUGUAUGAGACCUUUUUCAAAAUAUGACGUGAUCUUUUUAUAUCACAAGUUUGCAGUUUCAGCAGGGAUUACAAUAAAUAAGUAUUUAUUAUUGUUUAGGGAUGGCAAGAUUUUGUGAACCAGAGGCACCUCCACAUAUGCACCUGCGGCACUUCUGCAGCCUCAACAGCACGGAAAAGUACCUGAUGUGCAUGCUGUGACAAGCUGCUGUAGGUAUGGCUGGACCUGGAGAAGUGUAAGCAGACCAUGCUAUGUUGCUGAUCUGCGCUGAUCUCCACAUCCAAGUUGGUCCCGCGACAGUUGGGCACCAUUGUGCCUUGCUUCAUUGACAAGGUGAUAUAAUAUGGUGCCCUGCUCGCUCUCACCCAAGCAACCCACUCCAGCGGUCUUCUCUCGGCAGACUGGAUGCAUCGAAAUACCGUUAGAAGGUCCAAUAAACAGUGCUUGGGACAUUUA